rnacentral:lncRNA from 1 species
CACACACAGCUUGGAGGAUUAAAACAUAAAAUACAGUCUGCUCCCCACACAUGAGACCAACGCUACAACUGGCAUCAUAAUAAAUAAAUGAGUGGCCUCUCUCCUCCUUCUCCCUGCUCUGCUUCCCCCCUCCUGCCUCUCCUCCCCCUCCACUCUGCUUGGCACUGGGCUCCUUGUGCAUCUUGUCUUCUGGUUCCAAUCCCUCCCUCCCACCCUCUCCCAGUGCAGCCCAGUGGGCAUCAUCGUCACCGAGAAAGUCAUCCUAUACAGAAGCUGCUGCCUUGGACCUAGGGCUUUGUUCACAAGCCACCCGGGGUUCCGGUUCCGUUCGGAGCUCGGCUGCUACAGCGUUCACGGUGCUAAGAGCUGGCUGAUGGAGUGGGGGUGGGAGAAGGGAGGAAAAUGGGAGGAGGGAGAUUUUCUAAGCAAAUGGCUUCUUGGAUCAUUGGAGGGACAUUAAGAAGCCUCCCGGAGCACCUCAGAGCACCUAAAACCAAUGUCUCCUGCAAAUGGAUGGAAGGCCAUCAGCUGUGGACCUGCAGCUGUGGCCAGCAGCUCGGGUUGCUAGGAAACAGCCCUGAAAAUGUUUUGUCUUCCUGCUUCUGAUCUGGAUACACCUGGGAUUUUCAUGUCUAGGGCCACUGCCAGCCGGUUGUUCGGGCAACAAGGGCCGGUGGAAGAGGAAAGGGGUCCAGUCGAGUUCCAGGGCAUCUUAUAGACAUCAGACAGUUCUGGGUGAGAUGAGCUGUCAAUCAGCUGAAGAUAGCCCAUUUGGACCCUGGAGCUGAUUGGUCCUGAGCCUAGUACUUCCUGCCCCAUGGCCCCUCCUCACUCUUCUCUGAGUUUCUCUCCACCCUGAUACCCCCAGGAGCAUCUUCUGCUGACCACGCCCAUGCUCUUUCGGGGAUAGAGAUCUGAGAAUGGAUCCAGGGCCUCACAUGUAGCAGAAAGACUCGGUGUCUUAAUGGUUUGGUGGAGUGGCAGGAAAAGCCCUCAAAGGACCAG